rnacentral:rRNA from 1 species
UACGUAGGGUGCGAGCGUUAAUCGGAAUUACUGGGCGUAAAGCGUGCGCAGGCGGCGCGUUAAGACAGGUGUGAAAGCCCCGAGCUUAACAUGGAAAUUGCCAUUGAUACUGAUGAGCUUGAGUACACUUGAAGUGGGCGGAAUAUGUCAUGUAGAGGUGAAAUUCUUAGAGAUGACAUAGAACACCGAUUGCGAAGGCAGCUCACUAAAUUGUAACUGACGCUGAGGCACGAAAGCGUGGGGAUCAAACAGG